UCCUCUCUCCCUUCUAACAUGGUAUCAGCCUAAUCGAUCAUAAACCUAGUUGCCGCCGAUUCCGCACCCGCGCGCCGCCCCCGGGGCGGUCGGCCUUCAUGACCGCCGCCGGGGGCCGCGCCGCCCGUACCUAGGGUUCGUCCGCCGAUCGUGUUGAUCGGCUGCCCUAGAGAGUCUUUUUCCCGAUCCAUUGAUCGGAGUUUUUCUCUCUCUCGCCGGUCGUCUUGAUUGACGGUUCUUUUUUGGUUUUCCGAUCUUAGAUCGGCUUUUGUCGCCCCCCCCCCUCCGUCAUCUACAACAGGCGUCUCCUUCACUAACAUCUUUAUUGUCUUCGGCUGGAUCAGCUGCCGACUUCACGCACAGCCGUGCGGGUACGGCUGCCGCUCACGCUGUGCGUUCCGCGCUGCCUGGCCUGCGAUGGCUGCCUCCAAGGAAGAUGACUAUGGUUGUGAUAAAAAUGGGUGAGGCAGACCUUCUACAAGCCGUCAUGAGCUGUUAUAUGAUAUUUUUCUACAUGGCAUGACGUUCAAGGAAGCGAAGGCGCUCAUGAGUUUGACCACGCGUCCACCGACCUCCAUUGCGAUCUCGCUGAAUCGCUAAGUGUGGGCAGAUCCUAUUUGACGCGCGCGUGCGUCAAGGAGCCGCGGCAUUGCUAAAGGCGCCUAGCUAGUCUCGACGCCCAGUUUGGGCCAGCCCACCGUCGAGCUUCACUAUUUCUACAUUUUUCUGUUUCUGUUUCUUAUUUUCAUUUUUUCUUUUAUUUUCUAAUUUUGUUUAUUUGAAUUUGUAUUUUUUUUAAUUUUUUCUUUUCCAUAUUUCUAUUAUUUUGGUAUGAUACAAAAGUUCGUUGUGUAAAAAAAGGUCCAAUGUGUAUUACAAAAAUGUUCAUCU